GAAGCUGCGGCAGCGACGCUUAUGCGUUGUUGGGUAGGGGAGCGUUCUGUAAGCCUGUGAAGGUGUGCUGUGAGGCAUGCUGGAGGUAUCAGAAGUGCGAAUGCUGACAUAAGUAACGAUAAAGCGGAUGAAAAGCCCGCUCGCCGGAAGACCAAGGGUUCCUGUCCAACGUUAAUCGGGGCAGGGUGAGUCGACCCCUAAGGCGAGGCCGAAAGGCGUAGUCGAUGGGAAACAGGUUAAUAUUCCUGUACUUGG
rnacentral:rRNA from 1 species